rnacentral:rRNA from 1 species
AGCAGCCGCCGCGGUAAGACAGAGGAUGCAAGCGUUAUCCGGAAUGAUUGGGCGUAAAGGGCUCGCAGGCGGUUUCUUAAGUCUGAUGUGAAAGCCCCCGGCUCAACCGGGGAGGGUCAUUGGAAACUGGGAAACUUGAGUGCAGAAGAGGAGAGUGGAAUUCCACGUGUAGCGGUGAAAUGCGUAGAGAUGUGGAGGAACACCAGUGGCGAAGGCGACUCUCUGGUCUGUAACUGACGCUGAGGAGCGAAAGCGUGGGGAGCGAACAGGAUUAGAUACCCGGGUAGUCCCUGUCUCUUAUAC